rnacentral:rRNA from 1 species
CACGUAGGGGGCGAGCGUUGUCCGGAUUUAUUGGGCGUAAAGAGCUCGUAGGCGGCUCAGUAAGUCAGGUGUGAAAACUCCAGGCUCAACCUGGAGACGCCACCUGAUACUGCUGUGGCUAGAGUCCGGUAGGGGAGCAUGGAAUUCCUGGUGUAGCGGUGAAAUGCGCAGAUAUCAGGAGGAACACCGGUGGCGAAGGCGGUUCUCUGGGCAUUCCCUGACGCUGAGGAGCGAAAGUGUGGGGAGCGAACAGG